rnacentral:rRNA from 1 species
AUUGAACGCUGGCGGCAGGCCUAACACAUGCAAGUCGAGCGGAUGACAGGAGCUUGCUCCUGGAUUCAGCGGCGGACGGGUGAGUAAUGCCUAGGAAUCUGCCUGGUAGUGGGGGACAACGUUUCGAAAGGAACGCUAAUACCGCAUACGUCCUACGGGAGAAAGCAGGGGACCUUCGGGCCUUGCGCUAUCAGAUGAGCCUAGGUCGGAUUAGCUAGUUGGUGAGGUAAUGGCUCACCAAGGCGACGAUCCGUAACUGGUCUGAGAGGAUGAUCAGUCACACUGGAACUGAGACACGGUCCAGACUCCUACGGGAUGCAGCAGUGGGGAAUAUUGGACAAUGGGCGAAAGCCUGAUCCAGCCAUGCCGCGUGUGUGAAGAAGGUCUUCGGAUUGUAAAGCACUUUAAGUUGGGAGGAAGGGUUGUAGAUUAAUACUCUGCAAUUUUGACGUUACCGACAGGAUAAGCACCGGCUAACUCUGUGCCAGCCGCCGCGUAAGAC